rnacentral:rRNA from 1 species
AGAACGAACGCUGGCGGCAUGCCUAACACAUGCAAGUCGAACGCGUGUAGCAAUACACGAGUGGCGCACGGGUGAGUAACACGUGGGAACCUGCCCUGGAGUGGGGGAUAACCGAGGGAAACCUCGGCUAAUACCGCAUACGACCUGAGGGUGAAAGAUUUAUCGCUCUAGGAGGGGCCCGCGUCGGAUUAGCUAGUUGGUGAAGUAAUGGCUCACCAAGGCUAUGAUCCGUAGCUGGUCUGAGAGGAUGAUCAGCCACACUGGGACUGAGACACGGCCCAGACUCCUACGGGAGGCAGCAGUGGGGAAUAUUGGACAAUGGGGGCAACCCUGAUCCAGCAAUGCCGCGUGAGUGAUGAAGGCCUUAGGGUGUAAAGCUCUUUCGGCGGGGACGAUGAUGACGGUACCGCAGAAGAAGCCCCGGCUAACUUCGUGCCAGCAGCCGC